UACGGAGGGGGCUAGCGUUGUUCGGAAUUACUGGGCGUAAAGCGCACGUAGGCGGCUUUGCAAGUUAGAGGUGAAAGCCCGGGGCUCAACUCCGGAAUUGCCUUUAAAACUGCAUCGCUAGAAUUGUGGAGAGGUAAGUGGAAUUCCGAGUGUAGAGGUGAAAUUCGUAGAUAUUCGCAAGAACACCAGUGGCGAAGGCGGCUCACUGGCCCAUAACUGACGCUGAGGCACGAAAGCGUGGGGAGCAAACAGG
rnacentral:rRNA from 1 species